GCUGCCUGAGGGGGGGUUGGGCGCGCGGCCGGCUCGCCGCGUGCCGGGCAGUUAGGCGCGGGGAGGCGGCCCGCCGCCAUCUUGGCCCCGGCGCCAUCUUGCGGGAGGGUCGCGGUGCCGCUGCUCCCUCCCGUUGGGGCCCCGCCGCCGGCUCCCACCCUUGUCCUUGCCAGGCGGGGCUGUGAGGCCGCUUUCCGCCCCGACAGCACCUCGCGGGGGGCAGCGGGCGGCCCCCGGCCUGAGACAAAGCCGCGAGGCGGCUGCCAAGGGAGGGGGCAGCGCUCGCUGACGGGACUCCGGUCCCCGGGCACCCAGAAAAUAGCGUGGGGCAGCGCCGGGGUGGAGGGGGAGUGGGCUCACCACAGCAGGCGCUCUGAGACAGAAAUUGCUGCCAGAAACCGCUGCAGUUUCUGUAUCUUCAAGAUCAGCCAUGGAGCCGUGGUGUUGUGACAUGGAGCAGUUAAAAUGAAAAACAGUGAAGAAAUAUGCAGCAAAGCAGUCAAACAGCAUUUCCAGCCUUGAAGGAUGAAACCAGAUUUCCUAUGCUCAUCGUCCCUUUGCAGAUGGAACAGAGAGAAGGUGCCACGUGGGACUCGGAGAUGCUGUGCCAUCACUGUUUAGCAUUACAAAUACAAACGACUUUGCUUUCUUUUCUCUUGCAGCUGAGAAGCAGUUUGUUUUGUUGGCCUCUUAUAACCUGAAUGAGCUUGCGUAAGUCUGCAAGUCCGAGAAGGGAGUCCCAGACAGUUUUCCUUUUGACCACUUGAGGCUCUACUAACAGUGCCUUCUGGAUACACCCACCUCAGGUGCCGUUUUCAUGCCGCGUGCUGUAACAUGGGUGCAGUGCACAAACCACUGUCUGGGAACUCACAGAUUACCAGUGAAACUUCUAGUAUUUCUCCAUUUUCACAAUAUAAAGAGUAACAAAAAUCCUUCUGUUUUGGCCAACCUCUUUUCAGUGGUUUGCAGGGACAGGACAAGGGGCAACGGCCACAAAACGGAGCCCAGGAAGUUCCGCACCAACAUGCGAAAGCACUGCUUCACGGUGAGGGUGACCGAGCACUG